ACACUCUGGUUUCUCUUCACAUCGAGUAAAUCUUUCGCCUUUUACUAAAGAUUUCCGUGGAAAUUAGAGAGCUAAAAUAUCUAGACAGACUAGGUUCCAGAUAAUUUAGAUAUUGA